UAUUACCAACUCAAUAACAAAUAUAUUUUAUUCUAAGUGCAUUGUGCCUAAAAAAUACACGCGAUAGAAUUUUUAUAAUAUAUCAUAAUUUGUUCUUGAUAUAGUUAUCAAUAUGUGACAGAUAUAUUCAAAAUAAAAUUAAUGAUAUUCGAGCUUGACUCGAAUGAUAACAAAAGAUAGCUUCUUGAAGCAUUUUAUCUCGUCACAAAAACAAAAACAUUAAAAUUGCUCGAGUUGAGGGAGACGGUUUUCAAGUUGAUCGAGAGGUGUACUCUAAGUUGGUGCAUGGCCAAUAUUAUUGGUACCGUACGGUACCUAAUUGGCAAUGGUUGGUGUGAAUUCAAAUUCGCAUCAAUACUAAUGGUCCAGACAAUGAAUCGUUAUAGAGGGAAGACAAUAAUUUUAGAGCCGCAGUCUUGUUUAGGGUAAAACAUAUCAAAUGUCCCCAUCCUUUUCCCCUGUGCUAAGCGGUUGUGGGUGCUUCAAACUUCAAAGGGUGAUGAGCAAGUGAUGACAGGUGGCAAGUGAUGAUCAAGGUCUAAAAACCUACCGUAUUCAUAGACCUUGUGCUUAUAACUCUGCAACAAAGGAGGCUAGCCCAGCCUGAAGGCCAACGCUGGCAGGAGGCUAGCCCAGCUCAAAGGCCAGUGGAGGCCAAUGCUGGCAGAAGGCUAGCCCAGCUUGAAGGCCAGUGAAGGCCAACGCUGUCAAUAAUUAUUUUGUAAAUGUCUUGAAAACAAUAAAAUCUUCUGAUAGUAAUUCUAGCUUGCAAAAGCAAUUCUUGCUUGAAAUAGUUUAAAUUAAAUAUUUUCAUCCAAUUUUUUGCUCUUUCAGUGCUUAUAACUCUGCAACAAAGGAGGCUAGCCCAGCUUGAAGGCCAAUGCUGGCAGGAGGCUAGCCCAGCUCGAAGGCCAGUGAAGGCCAAUGCUGGCAGGUGGCUAGCCCAGCUCGAAGGCCAGUGAAGGCCAAUGCUGGCAGGAGGCUAGCCCAGCUUGAAGGCCAAUGCUGGCAGGAGGCUAUCCCAGCUCGAAGGCCAGUGAAGGCCAAUGCUGGCAGGAGGCACAGAGACUUACUCUCUUCUCUGUGACUUAUUUUAUAAAUUAUUCGACUGGGAAGGAAAUGAAAAAUACCUUGCAGUUCAAAGAAGAUUAAGUGAUAUUAGUUGCAAUAAAGAAUAUUAUGAUACUGUAUUUAAUAAAUCAUAAUAUUCAUUGAUUUCCUGGGUGAAGUGGAUAUCUUUAGGCUUUAUAUUGAAAGGAUUGAGUAAAUAAUUUUGUUAUUUCUAUUACUUAGAUACUCAUUGAUUGACAUAACAAUAUAAAUAAGAUUUUUUAUGAAGGGUUAUACAUGGAAUUACACGAUUUUCUAUGUUUGGAACGAUUUUCUAUCAUGUAUUACCAUACAUUGUUACAGACAUCCUUACCUAAAACAGGUUAUUCUGUUUCAAUGUUUCUCAUAUUUAUUUAUUGAUCCACAUGUAGCUCUUAAUGAAUUAUACCAUAAUGAUGAUAUAACGUAUCAAAGCAGUGUAUAAUGAAAACUAUAGACAAAAUAAUCUACCAGCAACAUUUCAUAGCAGUAGGUCAAGAUCAGGUCAUAAAAUUACUGUCUUCUUGAUAGGUAAUAUACUACAAUUAGGAUUGAAUUAUUUAUAAUAUUUCAUUUCAAUUCUCAUGAAACAUGUAUGGACUUGUCAAUUUCUCUUCAAUUCACUUGGAAUUCUAUAGAGAAAUAAUGCUUAUAGUGGGCUAUCUCACAUGAAAUUAAACUUGAUUCAUAAAACUAUAUGCUAAUAACUUACCCCACUGAACAAAAGGAGCUUAUUUUAAUUCCUUCAGAGAGCAUGUAAAUUGGGUAUAAAGUAAGUAUUUUUGUUAUAAAACAUAAUGAAUGAUCAAAUUUAUAGGCUAUGGAUUUUUUUUUGAUCUGUACGGUAAAUUAUGCAGACGACGCUGACAACGUUUGUCUAAUCAGUAUCCUACAACUUUCCACCUCUUUCCUUUCAAGAAUAUUAAAAUAGUUUACCACAUACUAAAAGGUUUUUAUUUUUCUUAAAGUAGAGUCUCGCAUUCAAAAAUAAAAUUUUAUGUGUUUAAAAUCAGUUUUAUUCACUACUGUUCUAUCUUGGCAAUUGUAAACAAGCACGAGGAAUGAGAAACCCUGACGUAGUUCAUAUUUUGACCACCAGAGACUGCAUGAGUCGAAUCUUCAGCCAAAUCUGUUCAGCCAAAUCUGAAUGGGGCCGCGGAAUUGGAAAUAUCUGGAACUCAAAAUAUCAAUGUUAAAUGUCAACGAGCUAUUAUAGUAAACUAUAGAGUGGCUGUUGGUGUGCUUACAGCGCUCUCAAUGUGUUACACGGCCAACUAAGGGCAGCCAUGACAGAGAGAGGCAAGAUUUCAAGAAGAGCCAGUCUGCCACUGCAGGAAUAGAUGUGUUUAUUUUUAUUCAAAUUGAUUUCUAUCAAUAUAAAAUUAUCAUUCCAAUUGGUACUUUUACGAAAAUUGAAUGAGGUAUGUGUGAGAAUAUUUAACCUCUAGAAUGUUCAGAAUCGACUGAGGAUACAAAAUAUAAAAUGUAGGUCUAUAGGAGUAGGCUAGACUAGAUCAUGCCGACUAUUUCAUAACUUUGUUUGUGAUAUUACUUACAAAUUGAAUUGCAUAUGAAACUACAGUCGAGUUGGAUAGAUUUAGACUUAUUAAACAUUUCAACUAUACACUGUUAAUAUAUUAUUUAUUUGUAUUGUGUAGAGAGUGUCAAUGAAGUCAUUCAUCAUACAAAAAGUUCCCACAGUAACAAUUUUUUUGGUAUGUGUUUGUAUAUAUUGCCAUUAUUUUAUUGACUGCACUAUCCCCAACGCAAGGUAACAAGAGGUGUUUUUAUGUUGAGAAGAUAAAAGGAAAUAGUGUGUCAAACUUUUUUAGUUAAUGUCUACUAUAGUUAUGUUCAUUCACAUCUUUUGUAAGGAGCAAUAUUAUGGGCCAAUUGUAGUGAUUUCCAUUCACGUUUUGUGUUACAAAAAAGAGCAAUAAGAACCAUGUAUAAUGUAAUGUUCCUCCCCUUAAGCACUGCAAACCGCUAUUUGUUAGAUUGAGAAUUAUGUAUUUGCCGUGUAUUUUUAUCUUCAAUGUUCAUUAUUUAUAAAGAUUAACUUGCUCUCAUUCUCUAGUCAUUUUGAUGUUUAUUCGCACAACACAAGAAAUAGGUUGAACCUAGAAACGAAUAUUAUCGGUAUAAAUUUAGUCAUAUCAGUUUUAGGGCUUGUGCAAUUAGGUUUUAUAAUCAGUUACCGUUACAUAUAAAGAGGCUUACUAGUGAGUGAAUAUAAACUUAAAAUUGAGGAUUUUCUUAUAAGAAACUUGUUUAUAUAAUAAUGAUGAAUAUUUUGUCUUUAUAUGGAGAAUUUGUAAGACGUUAAUGUGAUGAUUUCUUGUUUUUAUGUGGUAUGAUUAUAUGUUUUUUAUGUAAUAAUCUAUGUAAUUUUCUCAUGAAGUGGCCUAUACAAAUUGUGAUUUGUCUUUGAAAAUAAAUGGAUUUUGAUUCGAUUUAUAGCCUAAAGCUGGGUUUACACCAAAGUUAUUAACAAAAUAUUAUUAGCUUAAUCCUUAUAGAUACUAUUACAUU